GUUGAUAGUGGAUGUAGCACUAAGUGGAGGAUCGAGAUUUCAGGAGUCUUUAUUCAUUAUCAAUAACUUUGCAAACAGUGACAGACCUAUGAAGAAUUAUUCCCUAAUGGAUGUUCAGCCUUCAAGAAUAUUGCUCCCAACACUGAUGAAGAAGGAGCAAUGAAAGAGGAUGCUGGAAUGUUGGAUGUCCAUUAUAGUGAAGUAUACAGAUAGAAUCAUAUUCUCCAUAGUGCCAUUUUAUGUUUCGGUUUAUAUAAUAGGGCUUCUUCCUCGUGCCCUGCU